rnacentral:rRNA from 1 species
GAUGAACGCUGGCGGCGUGCCUAAUACAUGCAAGUCGAGCGAACAGACGAGGAGCUUGCUCCUCUGACGUUAGCGGCGGACGGGUGAGUAACACGUGGAUAACCUACCUAUAAGACUGGGAUAACUUCGGGAAACCGGAGCUAAUACCGGAUAAUAUAUUGAACCGCAUGGUUCAAUAGUGAAAGACGGUUUUGCUGUCACUUAUAGAUGGAUCCGCGCCGCAUUAGCUAGUUGGUAAGGUAACGGCUUACCAAGGCGACGAUGCGUAGCCGACCUGAGAGGGUGAUCGGCCACACUGGAACUGAGACCCGGUCCAGACUCCUACGGGAGGCAGCAGUAGGGAAUCUUCCGCAAUGGGCGAAAGCCUGCCGGAGCAACGCCGCGUGAGUGAUGAAGGUCUUCGGAUCGUAAAACUCUGUUAUUAGGGAGGAACAAAUGUGUAAGUAACUAUGCACGUCUUGACGGUACCUAAUCAGAGAGCCACGGCUAACUACGUG